rnacentral:rRNA from 1 species
AACGAACGCUGGCGGCAGGCUUAACACAUGCAAGUCGAACGCCCCGCAAGGGGAGUGGCAGACGGGUGAGUACCGCGUGGGAACAUACCCUUUUCUACGGAAUAGCUCUGGGAAACUGGAAUUAAUACCGUAUACGCCCUACGGGGGAAAGAUUUAUCGGGGAAGGAUUGGCCCGCGUUGGAUUAGCUAGUUGGUGGGGUAAAGGCCUACCAAGGCGACGAUCCAUAGCUGGUCUGAGAGGAUGAUCAGCAACAUUGGGACUGAGACACGGCCCAAACUCCUACGGGAAGAAGCAGUGGGGAAUAUUGGACAAGGGGCGCAAGCCUGAUCAAGCCAUGCCGCGUGAGUGAUGAAGGCCUUAGGGUUGUAAAGCUCUUUCACCGAUGAAGAUAAUGACGGUAGUCGGAGAAGAAGCCCCGGCUAACUUCGUG